rnacentral:rRNA from 1 species
GACGAACGCUGGCGGCGUGCCUAAUACAUGCAAGUAGGACGCAGUUGCGAACGGGUGAGUAACGCGUAGGUAACUACCUAUUAGAGGGGGCUAACUAUUGGAACCGAUAGCUAAUACCGCAUACUAGUAGAUGGAUCUGGGGUGUAUUAGCUAGUAGGUAGGGUAAUGGCCUACCUAGGCAACGAUACAUAGCCGACGUGAGAGGGUGAUCGGGCACACUGGGACUUGGACACUGCCCAGACUCCCACGGGAGGCAGCAGGAGGGAAUCUUCGGGAAUGGGGGGAAACCUGACCGAGCAACGUCGCGUGAGUGAAGAAGGUUUUCGGAGCGUAAAGCUCUGUUGUUAAGGAAGCGGUACUUAACCAGAAAGGGACGGCUAACUACGUGCCAGCCGCCGCGGUAAUUC